rnacentral:lncRNA from 1 species
GAUGCGCUCGCGCCCGCACCCUGCAUGCAAAUGUUGUCUCCAACGACAAGAUGGUGAGCCGCGCUCGCGGCCCCACCCUUCAUGCAAACCCUGUCUCCGAUGACAAGAUGGUGAGCCGCACUCGCUUCCCCCUCUCCUACUAGUGAUUUGAAGUCAACCGGUGCCUAAUGAUUUGAAGUUACUGACAAUCUUUGAUCUAGUCAUGUGAAUUAGUACUAGUGCUUACUGAAUUACCUGAUGUGUAUGUGCAAGAACUACGUGGUGUGUAUAUGUCCUUGAACUUUCUAAUCGCUGGGUUCUCUUGUGGCAGAUGGACGGGAAAAUGAGAUGGCGCCGGUCCAGGGGGUGCCGCCCAUGCGGGGAAGCAUCGCGGCUUCAAGCUCGGUUGGUAAGUACUCCAUACUAGUUUUUCUGUCAGUAUCACGGCUGUUUUUUGUCAUCAUUAGUAUAAUGAUAUUGGACUGAAGCUCGUCAACUCUUUCGAUGCUGUAUUUUUGGCAUCAUUAGUAUACUGAUAUUGGACUAAAGUUGGUUAGCUCUUUCCAUGCUGGACUUUUGGCAUCAUUAGUAUACUGAUAUUGGACUGAAGCUUGUUAGCUCUGUCCAUGCUCGGUUUUUUGUCAUCAUUAGUAUAGUGAUAUAUUGGACUGAAGCUGCACAUGUUUUGUUUCCAUUAACGUUGGUCUAGCAGUGCUACGCGUCAGUCGGCCGAUCGUAGCCGCCAUACAAGCCUUAUUUUAAUCAAGUUCCACCCAUCACUGCAUAUAUUAAUGUUGGUUUUGGCACUAGCUGCGUAUACAAACGCGAGCACCGGCACUGUGUGGCAGCAUGGAAGACAUAUGAACUGUGAUAAGAAACAUAAGAAACAUGCAAUGCCUAGAAACAUCUCCGUACAAAAAAAAAUUGGCAUGUUAUAGGUGUCAACAAAAUUAGUCGGCUUGCCAGCCGUCGGAUCUGACACGUGAAGCAUUGGAUCACACCACGCGGCAGCAGAGAGAGUGGAACCCGUCUUCCUCCAUAGCCUCCACAAAACUUGUUUAUCCCCCACCCCUCCCCCAUCGUUGCAACAGACUAUUAUGUUGUUGCCGCGGCCUUCCUCUUCCUCUCGCUCAGCAGCACCUCCCUCUCGUCCUUUCUAACACAGCAAAGAAGGAGGAGGAAGAAGAAGAAGGACGUAAGGACACAAGUGGUUUUGCCGGAGCACGAACUCCGCCCGCCGCACGAACGGCGUCCUUUUCUUUCCCUGAGCCCGAACUCAUCCGCAAGCUACAACAGAGGAGAGAGCUGGCCUUAUACCCGCGCGCAUGCACGCGCUACGCCACUCUCUGCACGCAUGCACACCCCACAUCCCGCGCUUUCAGACCCACUCACCCGACGCGCACGUACGCAGUCGCCGUAGGCCGAUUCCAGCGCCCCGACGUGGUCGCCACUCCGUUUCUGUCGCCUACACACAACGGCCCACGCGCUCGAACGCGAGGACACACACGCACGCACAGACACACACAACGCACGGCCACGGACCCGGUGCGUCCUGGCUCGCACCCGACGCGUCCUGCGGUGGCUUAUGCCCAACACUCACUCCCCUAAGCCACGAACUACAGCAGGUGAGUCCAUCGUCGUCGAUGUCGCCAUGGCCGUCGCACCGCACCGCUGCGGCCUCCGCCGUGCCGUCGACGUCAUUGUAACCGCCGCCGCCCUAACGUCGCUGCCACGCCAGCCACCGUGCCGCCGUGCCCUUCGCGUGCACUCCCCACGUCCCCGCGCUCCCGCCGCGCACGUACGCGGUCUGCGCAACCAGGUCCAGCGCCUCGACGCGGUCCACUCCCGCGGUCCCGACGCGCCCGACGCGUCCGGUGCGCACCCAUAACACGCACCGGUCACACCCGGCUCGCCGCCGCGCUUAUUGCCCUACACCGCUGCACCGUCAACCGCAGCGCAGCGCCUCCACGGUUGUCGCGCCGAGCCGCCGCGGCCUCUGCAACACCACGCAGGUCCUCCGCGACCUCCUCGUCUCCGCGACCGCCACUGCUCGCCGCGCGCACGGCAUCACGCCACACCGCCGUGGACUCGCCGCGCGUUGCCGACGCCACGCGCUCGCCGCGCGCCCGGCAUCACGCCACACCGCCGUGGACCUUCAUGUCCGCCGCGCGCCGCGCGCGCCGCGAACGCCGCCGCGUGCCACGGCCGCCCCCCGAACCUGUGGCUCUGAAUACCAAUUGUUGUUGCCGCGGCCUUCCUCUUCCUCUCGCUCAGCAGCACCUCCCUCUCGUCCUUUCUAACACAGCAAAGAAGAAGAAGGAGGAAGAAGAAGGAUGCAAGGACACAAGUGGUUUUGCCGGAGCACGAACUCCGCCCGCCGCACGAACGGCGUCCUUUUCUUUCCCUGAGCCCGAACUCAUCCGCAAGCUACAACAGAGGAGAGAGCUGGCCUUAUACCGGCGCGCACGCACGCGCUACGCCACGCUCUGCACGCAUGCACACCCCACGUCCCGCGCUUCCAGACCCACUCACCCGACGCGCACGUACGCAGUCGCCGCAGGCCGAUUCCAGCGCCCCGACGUGGUCGCCACUCCGUUUCUGUCGCCUACACACAACGGCCCACGCGCUCGAACGCGAGGACACACACGCACGCACAGACACACACACAUGCACGGCCACGGACCCGGCGCGUCCUGGCUCGCACCCGACGCGUCCUGCGGUGGCUUAUGCCCAACAAUUACGUCAGCCCCUCGCAGCACCUCACGUCCAUGCUCUGGCGCAUCCCUGAUGUCUCCUGGUAUCAUGCAAGCACUAUUACAGACGGCGCGCCGGCGAGGAACAUUGUCUUACAACCAAGGUAGUUGCAUUGAUGCGACCACAAGCCUCACCCCCUUGUUGCAUGGGUCGUGGCUUGUGGCACUGGUCGUCGGCUAAAACACCCCCUGUGAGCACCUGCAGUUGCACCACUGUGACAACCCCGUGGGUCUAUGCAUGGUGGAAAUAGAGCGAAUGGAUAUGGUGAAGAGAGAGGAAUACAAGUGAGGGGCAUCUGGCGCUAGAGCGAGCUGACUCAUUUCCUCCUAAACCAGUCUGUUGAAUAUUUCCAUUUUCUUUUGAGAAACCUCGUAAAAACGUUGCAACAUGCGAGCAUGUCUAUACAAAAAAAAGUAGAUAUAGAACACAUACUCAUUAACUGCAAGAAAUCAGUGAAAAACCACAAUGUAUACACGCCUGAACCAAUGGAUCAUUGGCAUGCAUCUUCCAACUCUUCCUAGGUUACGCCCACCCGCGAACCGUUCAAUUCUGUAACAGAUCAUUGCCAAAUCAACCACCAACUUGGUUCCUGCUCUCGUCUCCUCUCCCCAUCCUUUGCAACAUACACCCAUGUUUCUCAGCAAUAGACUCACUUGGAGGCCACAAUGGUGGCCAUGGUAGGCUAGUGAAAAGCACAAUGGUGGUCGGCCUUACAACACUAAACACGACAUUAAUUGCAACACGUGAUAACCCCAAAUUUGUAGCACCGGUGCACCGUUUUGCGGCAAAGUAAAAAAUGCCAAUGACCUACCAUGCUGCAUCGAUGCCUUGGUCUUGCAGCAUUGUCAACCACCUUGUAGCAAUGAAAAGUUCACUGACCACUAGCUUUGCAGCAUCACGUGACCGGCUUCUAGCACUGAACGCCCGGGCUAGCAGCAUUGCGAUGAGUGAUGGUCGGCCUUGCAACAGUAUUGGUUGACAUUGCACACCUCAUCUCCAUUUUUAUGUACAUACACAUGAGUGAACUUGGAACAUCAGUAACGUAUCAACAUUAGCAAUAUUGAUGAUGAUGAAAUUUGUUUCCCCAAGUAUCAACAUUACUGAAUAAGCGAGCAACUGCACAUCCACCCCAUGAGCCAUACUUUUUGAGCCCUACCACAACCGAUUAUAGUUGGAAAAGAGCUGACAACGAUAGUUAAAAAUGUACAUGAUCACAAUAGAUUAAAUGGCAGGGAGGGUGGACUGCAUGUGUGGAAUCAGGCUUGUCGCGUGGUCACAAGUGCCUUAUCUGACUAGCCAACAAGACAGAAGGAGGCCGCCUGGGCUCUCACUCCUGAAGCUAAGCAUAACUCCAACUCCAGACACACUCGGGGGCUACUGAAGGUGCAAUACACUAGGGGUGUCCUCUAAGUGGGAAGCCCGGUAGCAGGCCUAUCUCAAGGCCCAAGAGGCCAAGUGGAGGAUCAGCGCACGAGGGCAGCUCAUGAGCCCGGAUAAGGACCGGGAGAGCAUCUGGGCGUGCAAGCUAACAUGGCGACGGUAUGAGAUCUAGUGGAUUCCUUGUAAUCCCUAGCCCUCGUCACCUAUAUAAGGCAGGGCAAGGGGUUAUCAUUCACAUAUACUCUCAUAGACUAUACUCUUGGUGGCCUUAUACUUCAUCUCCGUUGUAAAUCCUAUUAUGGGUACUAACAGUUUUACAUACUGUCGCAUAGUUUUGUUCCGACACAUUUUCUCUAGGAGUUGAAAGCAACUCAUGGUGUAAGUAUGUGUCUAGUUUAAUAGCUAACAUUGGAUUUUUCUAUUUGUUGACCUGAUUGCAUGCACACACUCAUACGUGACCAACACAUUGUCUGUGAUAAGCCUACCCGGAAUAAAUAUACUUUGCUCCUCCCAGAUCAUUAUGGACAGGAGAACAUUCAAACCAUUCACUAGGCCUUUGAAGCAAUAUGACUGAGUGUGUUCUAUAAGCUGAUUGAUCCAAUUUGAGGAAGUAUAUCCAGUGAGUUAAUUUUUAGGAUCAGGACUAGAACCAUAUCACUGAAGUUUGCCGAUACAUCAUUUUUUAGCAACGACUAGUGAAAUUGGUAAACAUAGUCGAGAGGUUGUGUGGCCCAACGCUUUUGUCAGUCUAAUUUAGAAUGGUGCAUUCUCAAUUUCUUCAUCCAUCACAUCCGCGUCCACCCUCAAGAAAACAACCAAGCAUAGAAAUCGGCCGACAUCUUCCCCAUCUCAUUGUCAGUAGUACAUCUCAUGCCAUCCGCGCUCAUGUUUUGUUUGUCUUCCUCGAGCAAUUCCAGUCGAGCAUGUUGCACAUACAUUAUUUCUUCCCAUGCAUGAGCCAGAUGAAGCUACGCUUCAAUCUCGUGGAUCUCCACCAAGGAUCUGGAUCCCAAUGCUCUCUCCUUUCCAUCGAAGCUGACCUUGUGCCUAGUGAUGUCUAAACAUAUGAAACAAAACACUGAGCCACUCCAAUGUUGCGUAUCAUUGGUGACAUUGUUAAGCUUCCUGUAUAACGUACUUUGGCCGAAAUUGUUGUCACAUGCACACUCCCACGCAUCCAUGGGGCAUCCGCCUCUCCUCAAAUGUUAACGCCCUCUUCUUCCUUGUGGUAAUGACCAAUUGGUCUAGCGCUCUAAUAAUGAGUGAAUCAUGGCCUGGUUCUCCGUGAGAACAUGUUCAAUGGAUGUAUCCUAGAAUGAGUGUAUGAAAUCAUCAUUGCAUGGACCCCUUCCCAGAUGUACCUAAAUGUUCUCAUCAUCAUCCCUUUUGUUGUCCCGUGUGUACUGGUAGCUACUAAAACAGAGGUUUGAAAAGUUGUUAUUGGCUACGCUCUCCCUAAUGCGCUCCAUUUGUGUGAAACUCCUCAAGUAAUCUCCUGGUUGUUGUGAUUGAAAGAAUACUUUGUUGAGGUAUCACUGUCACAGAGAAAUUUAUUAUCAGGAUCUAGUCUCUCGAAACCUCCCUUAGCUACACAAAUUUGCUUCAAUCUCUCUUCCUAUCCAGUAGCUUUAGCUAAUAAUCCUUGUGAUGCCUUUGGUGAUCACCACCACCCUUCCUCGUCUUGUGAACAAAAGUGCCUCGUGUGUGCUGCUUGGAGGUAGAUGGGUCUUCUUUGCCCAGUCGCCUUGCACCCUUUCUUCCCAUAUAGAAUUUUUUAUGUCCUCCUUCCUUUCAUGCUCCUUCCUCAGCUUCCACAUCCUUUUCAGUUGCAAAUCAUCCCUUAGUUCAUGUCACCGAUCUUGCUUGCAUUGGUCCUUCCUGGGUGUAUAAGCAUUGUAGCACUUGUGCCUAAAUGGGAGGUGGCGCAACGCUGCUUACCCCCUGUGAACAUAGAUGCACCUUCUUGACCUAGUGCUCCCAAAACUAAAGUUCCCACUUUCUAUCACCGACUUAUACUAUGUUUCUGUGUGUGAGGAGCUAUGUUCGAGUGGUGCCCUCAACCAUUCACCCAACUAGGGUGAGGAAUCAACAUGUGGUUCAAAUCUUUCAUCAGCAUGUGCUGGUCUAACGCAGUCAAUCCAGAAGUGAUGUAUCUUCUCAAAUUGAAAAUCAAGACAGUCCCCUCAUCUUUUGCUGAAGAGUGGAGGAAGAAGCCUCGAACCAAUGAAACGAAUAUGAAAAUUCUAGCUCUAACUAUGAGAUGGUUCCCCCCAUAAAUCCAUCCUUCUCGAUAUCAAAUUUUACCAUGUCACCAAGCCAAUUCCCGAGAGCAUUCCCAAAAGUAGACAAUGGUUUAUAUAGGGGAAGAUCCUUAAUUAUCACCAAUGGCUCCGUCAUCCAAAACAUUAUCUUCGACGGCCUAGUUUUACUAUCACAAUUCUUCAAAACCAUCACACUAAAACCAAAUUUCCACGGUCCAUUAUAUAGAGCUUGAUUCUAAACUCCGUUUUGUCGAAUCUCAAGACGAAUAUAUUAUUGCCAAUGGCUUCCUAGUAGAGUCCCCAUGCCUGUUGCAUAGCCUUAGCAAACACGUUGAUGUUGAUAUGCGGAAGUGAGCACGCCUUUCCAAUAGCUGACAACUUAGUAGGCCUCGGUCGGUCUAGAAUCCACCUCAAACAUGAGACCUAUUAGUUCCUUUUGUGUCAAGUUCAAGGCUGCUUGUUUGUUUGAGUGAUUCGCUACCUCCUGGAAGCAUUUUCAUCUGUCAGGGACUUUGAAGAUUCUCGGCUUACCGAUCGUUGGUCACCCGCUUCACUGGAGUUGCCUGUCCAUGCCAUGCCUGCUCUUCCGUCAUCGACCAAUAGAUGAAUAAAACCCUAACCCUAGCACUACCUGUCGGUCCCCUAUAGUCUCCCUUAGCAUUUCCUUUCAUGGUGGGCCCGCCACCAACUAUUCCUCUCCGUCCUUCCAUUGGUACUUUUUCUGCGGUGGAGCCUUUAUGCUUCAUUUGGCUUUCUACAAUGGUGGUUGUAUCCAGCUCAUAAGUCUCCUCUAUAUGUAGGAAGCCAAGAUGUUAGCUCUUCUUUUUUUAAGGAAAAUACGUUAGCUAAUGUACAAGUUUCAUUUGAAAGAAGUCUUGUCGCAUGUAAAUACGUCACUGUCGAUUCAAUAUCCGGCGUAUCUCGUAGUAGGGGUCCUAAGCUAGGCGUCUUGGAGCGAUGGUAACAUGGACACGGGGUUUUACCCAGCUUCGGGCUCUCUUGAUGAGAUAAUACCCUAGAUGCUGCUUUUGAUUGUAUUCAUAUGGGGUGUAGUACAGAGUACAUGUGUCUACCACGAGACUGUGGUAAUGAAUAUGAGAUUGUCUAUUGACUAGCCUGGCCUCGGUUUAUAUAACACAACGGAGGCCUAGGGUUUUAGGAGAGUCCUCGCCUUGGGCGCCAAGUCUUGUGGAGUCUUCCUUAUAUGCGGCAGGGGUUGUCCGAACUGGCCCAUGAGUAUACGGUCGGCCCAAUCCAACUGAUCGGGAGACGACGUGGUGAGUACCCCCUAGUCCAGGACACCGCCAGUCACUAAGAGUGCGAUACAUAUAGGUGCAUACUUAGCGGAUGAUGCAAAUUUCAGCAGAUAUGAACAGCUCCAGGUGGACCGAGCACACAAAGAAAUCAUGGACCAUAAACGAAUAAUUUCCAAAGAAACAAAGUCGCAAAAAGAGAGACGACAUUAUCUUCAUUAUGGAAAACCCUUAUAUUUUUAAACAUUGUUUUGCUCUUUGAUUAUUAACAGGAAUCUUUUUACUAAUAUAAUAAGUGUUAAUCUUUAUAGAUAUGGAAUGUAUUUUGUUCAGUAGGUUUUAAUGAAUCAUAUCAGUUUUUGGUAUGUUAAAAUUAGAAGAAGUUCAUGCGCCUUCAAGGCAUGUCACGGUGUGUUGUUCCACCUCAAACAGGGACAUACUACAUGGUUAUUCUCCCUGCAUAUAGCCCUCUUUGCAUGCUCUUCCUCUCUCUCUCUCUCUCCAUUGUAUAUUCCAGAACUGCUGACACUACUCCAUAAUGCCUAACUGGUGAAGGUCCAGAAACACCUAGCAGUGAUGGGUUCAACAUGCGCAGUAGUCUGUACUUAGUGGAGAAGUAACAAACCACUUAGAUGAACGUGUCCGCCAGUGAUGGUCAAAUCGAAAAAGAAAAUCGGGCCAUGGCCAGUCCAAAGCUAACACCUGCCAAUAAUGUGUUGUCUCCACUACUCGAACCUUCUUCACCUCAAUAUAUUGCACCGUCUGAUGUUUGGAGAAGCCAUAGAGUUGGGGAUCCGAAUAGAGGAAACAAUGGUGGGGAGUGUCUUGAAGAAUAGGUAACGAGAAGCCGGACGAAGAAGGCCUCGACCAUGCUGCACCAUCAGCCCAUGAGCACUGACCUGUAUAUAUGGUGCAAGGACCGAGGCAGAAAUGAACACCAUCAUCGCCUGGGUGGCAGAGGGAGUUGGACCUGGGUGUUCCUCCUCUCGGACAAACUCAAUGAAUUCUUGGAGGAAGCACCCAUGCUAGAUUCUGCAGAGAUGACAACAUUUAGAGGAGGUGGAGGGCCAGCGCUAGGUUUGUUCCUCAUAGGGUUUAUUUUCGGGGAAGAAGGGGAAGGGUAUGACAUGAUGAGUGAUUAACAAGGGAAGUGUGUGUUUCUGUGGAGGACAAAUCAUGAAGACAAGUGUGCUAGUAGCUAGAGAAGGGACUAAUGAUAGCAGGAAUGAAUAAUGAGCUUAAUGUGUGGGGCUACUAGUUUUAAGUUGUGAUCUAAAUGACAGGGUAAGUAUUUAGUCACUAUCGUGUUGUGACUUGGGCUUGUAAGUGGUGGGUUGUAUAUGAGUAACAAGUAGCAUGUUUAGCCUCAAUAUUGUUCUCUGUCACUUGUAACAAUGUAUCAUUGAUGGACCACAUAUUGGGCCCGUCACUACUAACUUUUUUCAACAAAAAUAGAUUUUUAGUUAUCGUCAAAUUCAUGGCAAACCCGUCGUCCAUUACUUCUAAGUAGCACUACUGAUGGGUUGUGUGACCCACCACUAUUGAUCAAUAACUAGAGGAUAACUCAAGCAUAGUGCACAUCCGUUUCUUUGAGAUUUUGUUAGUGUUUUCUUGUUCAUGGAGACAUAUCAAUUGACCCUAACAAGUGUUCUAUUUAGGUGGGGUUGUGAGUGAAAAUGCGGGGAGCUUGCCAGCAGGGAAAAUGGCACCUAGAGGGGCUCAUGUCUCCAUGAUGAACAACCACAACUUUGAUUUGAAUGAGCUACCGACUGAACAUGAGCAGCUCCAGCAGGAGCAGCCGCCCAAAGAGCAGGAUUAGCCGCCUGUGGCACAACAUGAGCUUUAAUAUUCACAAUGGCUGGAGCCUGCUCAAAUCCGCAUCUAUGAGCAAAAUAACUCUUCGCCAGAAGCAUAGCCCUGUUGGAAAUUAUCAAAAAUAUCUCUAUCCCGAGGAUAAUGGGAAGGCUUGUAUGGAACUUUUGAAUUUCUCUCUUCCUACUUUUUGCNNNNNNNNNNNNNNNNNNNNNNNNNNNNNNNNNNNNNNNNNNNNNNNNNNNNNNNNNNNNNNNNNNNNNNNNNNNNNNNNNNNNNNNNNNNNNNNNNNNNNNNNNNNNNNNNNNNNNNNNNNNNNNNNNNNNNNNNNNNNNNNNNNNNNNNNNNNNNNNNNNNNNNNNNNNNNNNNNNNNNNNNNNNNNNNNNNNNNNNNNNNNNNNNNNNNNNNNNNNNNNNNNNNNNNNNNNNNNNNNNNNNNNNNNNNNNNNNNNNNNNNNNNNNNNNNNNNNNNNNNNNNNNNNNNNNNNNNNNNNNNNNNNNNNNNNNNNNNNNNNNNNNNNNNNNNNNNCUCAUGAUCACCCUAUCCACUUGAAAUGGAUCUUCUAUUCAUUUCCCAUGAUGGUUUUGAUAUCUGGAUUGUUUCAACAAGAAUAUAUUCAUUUGGUAAAGCUUUGUGAAACAUUAGCGAUGGAGCUAGGUCUCGGAUCAUGUGAAAAGACAGUAGGUCAAGAAGUGUGUUAGCUCAUGAGAUAAUAUAUUUUUGAAGUUGUUCAUCAUGUGUGUUGACACAAUGGGCCGUACGAGAGAAGGUUGGCAUGAAUCUUUGGGUUUGAAAUGAGCUGUCUAAUUGGACCUUCAUGACUGAAAAAAGGGAGAAAACAUGGCUAAUAGGAGGCGCAAAUGAUAUGGAAGCUACUUUUUGGAUGGAAGUUAACUAUGGCUAUGCGACCACACAAGAUGUCAGUGGAACCGCGUCCUUACAUAUCGAGGUUGACUUCAUGUGCAAGCUGUAUUGUGACUAAAUUAUGGUAUAUGUAUGUAAUAACUUGGCAUCUUACCAAAAACAAAACACCCCAAAAAAUACUAUUUACUUCUCUUCGAUGCAUAUUCUAGUGGAAGGGUGGUCAUAACCAUAUGGGGAUAUUUUUCCACAGUAGAAUCUAUAAUGGUCUAGUGAGGAAAGGUGUAAAUGGAGAGGAUAAUAGGCGAACAUGGAAACAUCCAACAUUGUGUUGUACUUGUAUCUAGUUGUAUAGUGAGAUAAUAUGGAAACGGAGGAGGCUCAUAGGGAAACACGAGAACACCCAACAUGUUGCUCUACUUCCUUCCUAUUGGUACCAAGAGACUGAGACUAGAGAAAGGUUAAUCAUAACACAUGGACAAGAUCUCUCAUACAAGUUGAAAAUGGACCGAAUCUUGUAUGAAAAUGCUAACCAAGUAUGAGUGUGCAUAACAUACCAUUUCCUCCCUUUCUUUGUUGUAUUUUCCUUCACCAACCCCAUAGUACCCUAAUCGACACUAUUAAUUCGAUAUGCUUCUCAUCUGAGUUAGGUAGACUUAUUCAAGGGGAAAUAAUGGAGGUGUCUUAUCUAAAAUAGCCACAUUCCGGAUAGGAAUAAAAAAGUAGACAUAACCUAAUGAUUUGUUGAGAUUUGAAUCGAGAAUUCAACAUACAUCAACUAUCCUACAUGUAAAUCAAAUCCUCAUCCUACAUCGGCAUUGGGCUUUAGUUGGACUACCACUUUAUGGACAAGCUGUAUGGUCCAUGUGGUCUACGUCGCAAAGGCUGGAGAACAAGGAGCAAAUAGUUGUGGAUGUUUGGUAAUUGAAGUUAUUUGUCAAGAAAUUUGUUUCCCGUCAUGGUUUUUUUAAUUCAUUAUUUAGUAUUUGGUAUCGGUUCUAUGCUCUAAUGUGUAACCUUCUUCUGAUGGUUUGGGUUUAGCUGUCGGUGGUCAUGAGUUCAUUACUUAUGUUAACUACUAUUGUUGUGUCCACUUGUUCGCCAAGAGACUAUAAAGUUAACUUAUAUCCUCCCGUAUCUCUAUUAAUAUAGUUGGCGGUGAGGUAAUCAUUAACCCUGAAUAUUACUCACCUUUGUCAAAUAGUAGGCCAAGCUGGAACUGUCCGGUGCAUCAUCUAUGGUCACAUAUGGUGUAUUGCCUAUUCUAAACUCAAUGAGUAUUACAUAAUGGCAUGUGCCUGCAGGGAGGAAUGAGUCACUCUUUUGUGUCAAGGGGAGACGGCAUGCGUAAUAAUUGACAAUGAAAAAUUAACAACCUACAUCAAAAGUCUAACCCAAGACAAUGAAUAUGUGCCAUUGUAAUUUUACCACACUAAGUCAUCGGUAUUUCAUAAUCUAAUGUUCCCGAUGUCGUGACUUUUGGCGGUGGUAAGCCCAAAUAAUCGCCAUUGUGAAAUUAAAUUCUUCCGUUCACUUGAACCCACAUCCGUAAAGAUGUGCCAUUACAAUCCACGUCAUGGCUAUCUUGGAGUCCUUAAUAUAAUCAAGUGUGCCAAAUAUGGUGACUUGAUAAUCACGUAUACUAAUGGGGAGGAGCGAGGUCACAUUUUUUGCCAUGGAGACAUGAUAUUCCGUACUAAUUGACCCUAGAAAGCUAAUCGCCUCCAUCAAGUAGACCCCUUCCUGGUUCUCCUAUAACUGGAUUCCCCGAAACCACGAAAAUCCUUAGAAUUGGAUUACAACUUAGCACCUUGUGUUUUCACAUAGUAAGAAGAGUUGCUCCUUGGAGAGCACGGUAUGAUGAAAGUUGUAACCUGUGUUUCCGAGGGAGUUAUUGUCUCGCAACUUUGUUAUCAACUAUUCUGAUUCCAGCAAACAGAGGCCAUUGGGUCAAAGCCAUAGCGCACGCCUUGUAGUUUUGAAGUGGGGCGAGACAACUUUAGCUAGGAACCUAUUUUCCUUCUGACCAACUCCCUAAAAACAAUGUUCGACUUCAUGUGUAGUCGGUGUAGAUGUGUGAUUGCAAUUCCACCACUAGGAUAUCACCAUGUCCUAUGUAUUACAUGCCAACAUAUGCCACCAUAUGGUGACUUGAUAAAUUAAAUGCAUUUCACCAAGCUUUUCUGUUCCAAUUAUGGUGAAGAUAGUGACUCACAUGUCAGCCUCCCUAACGGGAAGCAAAAUCACUCUGACUUUGGCAACCUAAUUUUUUUAUGGAUUCAAGCAAGCAUGUUGGAUUUGUGUAUUGUUUGUUUCCACAUAUAUGAUUCAAAAUAAAGGAAUCAAUUCAGAAUAGGAGUCUUGGAGACACCUAUGUCAAUAAUGUGAAAUUAUGGGAAAUCUUAUUGUGUGCAUCAAAAUAAGCCAAAACUCGUGGCUUAAGAGAUACGUGUACAAUCAUACAAUGGUUAUGACCCCUACUAAAUUCAUGAUGUUAACCAGUUCCCAGAAGUUUAAGUUGAGAAACAAGUUUGGGCAACAUAUUUCCAGACACCUGUCAUGUCUAGGAUUGUCUGAAGCCUAGGUAAGAUUAGUUAUGGGAUCAAUGCAGGCUAUUAGUACAUUGACUCGGUUCUUAACUCAAGUCCUCCUUGCUUGAUACCAUAUUGAAUGGCAAGUACAUCAUCAAUUUACUUAAGUGGGUGAACAUUGUUGGCUAGUAUAUUCCAACACUCACCUCACAUGCAUUUUUUAGGGGCAUAUAAUGUAUCGUGAUGGAUACAUUCUUUCUAAAGACUAAAUUCCAAUGGAAAAUUCAAAUUAAUUUAGUAGCAAUCUCGUAUGGCAAGGGUAUAUGGUAAAUGAAAAGGAGGGCUCAAAUGCUACUUGUUGGCACACACAAGUCAAGUUGUCUUUUAGCUCCCAUGUUGAUCCUCCAUGGUUCGACAUUGGGCAUUACAUAGAGAACGAGUUAUCUUUACGGACUAACUAGAGCUACCAGACCAUGGAUGUUCCACCGUGAAUGUCCAUAUGGUGCAAUGAGUGAUAGCGGGGUAUAUUAGAACAUACAGUAUACACCGUUAAAGUAAUUAAAUGUGCUAUUUUGCCUACUAUGAAAAAAUAGUAUUUUUAAGAGAAAACUACGCAAGAGUUUGUGAUCUUUGUAUGUAAAAGCAUUAUUUGCCUUUGCUUGGUGUUCACACAGUUUGAUUUAUGGCAAAAAUGGAAAAUCAUGGGACAAUAAUUGUUGAUAUUCUUUGUGGGAAAGCUAGAAGUUUUCACUUUUCAGAUCACGCAAAGUAUUGUUUUCUUAUAGGGGUGAUAUAUAGGGUUCUAAAUCUGCAUUUGUGAUUUGUUGUCCAUUUAAAUUUUGUUUCUUCCACAGAUUAUGUUGGUUUGUUGCUGUAUUUAUCUCAGCACUGAAUUUUACUGAUGUUAGCUAAGUCCAAUCAAAGGCCGAUGUUUCUAUCAUGUUAUACAAAUUAGUAAGCUAAGUACUGACCAAACUCAAGUUAGAGAAGCCCAGACUACGUGAAAUGCACAUCAUGCAGUACACAUGUUCAUCUUAGUGUUAUGUUAUACUUGGCUCCCAGAUGACAAAUGGUAUCAGUUACUACUAUCUUUUGCAGCUUGUUUCUGCCUGUUCAUCGUAGAAUUAUCUUAUGUAGUCUCCCAAGGUUCAUGCAACUUGGAUUUUCAUACUUUGGUAGCAUUAGUGUUCACUAGGACUAGAUGCCACUCUGUAGAAGCUGGGGAUACAGAUGGAGAAAGUAGUCAUGGUUUUUUUUUCAAAAAGUUUGUUCAUAUCUAUAACAGGUUUAUUAUUUUUAGCGUACAGUGUUGUGAAACCUAGAGUGUUUUAUCUCAUUAAACAUUGAACUACACUUGCAAGGGAAAAACCUUCAUUUGACAUCGAACUAUGCAUGCAGGGCAAACACUCCGUGCAUCGGUGCCACCGCGCCGCGAACCUUGGGAGCUUGAACCUGGUUGGGUGUGAACUUAUGUUGUCAAGGUUUGGGGUCAGUCUUGGAUAGAGAAUAAAGGGGACUUUGCGAAACUGUUAUUAAUAAUAUGUAUGAAACAUUGCCUUGGGGAGAGAAUAAGAGAUUUCGAGAGAUAUUUAUAAAUGGAUGCAUGCUUGCAAUAGCAGUACAAAAUAUGAUGCUAACAUUUUAUUUUCAUUGUUCUUCCCAUUAAACUUCUCGUGGUGGCUCCAUUAUUCACAGCCUCGCACAUGAAAAUGUUAUUUCGUU